GUAGCACUUGCUCGAUCUGCCAGUCGUUGUGUUACAAUGCCUCGAGACAGAAAGUAGAAUAAAAGCAGGUAAAAAGUACACGAAGGCAUCCCGCAAGUUUGUACAAACAGUGCGAUUGGCUUGCCGGUUCGAGACUUGUCUAGAUCUAAACAUUCAAGAUACCAGCGCUCUACUUGACCUCGAGUACGUGCUGACCCAACUGGCCAGACAACUUAGCGCGAUAAACUAGAUCAGUUGAGGCUCCACGUGGAACCUCCUCGUAGACACGCUGGUCGUCCAGUCAGGCGGUCGCUUGCGUGAGCACAAGUAUGGUUUUCUACGCGCUCGUUACGUUGGUUCCCGUUACUGUCCUUGGCUUCUUUGCCUAUAAGCUCGUUCAGAGCCUUCGGGACAAGGAGAAGCGCAAAGAAGAUAAGAAGAAGCAGAAGCAGCAGAAGAAAGAAGUGAAAAAGAAGAGCAAGUGAUGGCACAUACCUACUUCAGCCUUCUACUGCCAUGCAGACUCUCUUGCAGAAACUCACAAGUAUCACCGCCUAACCGGACAACACCGUCAA